rnacentral:lncRNA from 1 species
GAAGGCGGAGCUGCGGCAACCAAAACCAAAACCGAUCGCGUCAAAAGUUGCGGAAAGAAGAGAGGAGCAAGGGAGGGUGGUCGAUGCGGCGAAAGGCUCACCGGAGUGGCGGCGAAGGCGCGAAAUCGGCGCCGACAGAGACGAACUCCGGCGAGGAAUUAAACUCUAACCGGUGCGAAAUCGGGCGAGCGGUUUGGGGGAAGUAGAGGAGAAAAGAGAGAGGCUCGAGGUGACGCGCAAGGUUUCGGGGAAAGAGGUUGUGAGCGAGCGGGAUUCGGAGUGGGCUUAGUGGGCAGUUCUUCCGGGAGAAUCGAAGUCGGUUGGAGGUAGGGGACGAUGGCAGGGCCCGCCUGGCAGUGGGGGCGUCCGGGGGCUCGGGCUGGGCCGGUUCGGUUCGGCUCGGUUUUUCUUUUCCUUUUUUUCUAUUUUUUGUUUUCGAACCUCAAAAAUGAUUCAAAACUCCAAAUCACUCCAAAUAAAUUGCAACAAAAAUUUUAAAAUCAUAUUUUCAUAUGAUCUAACUUCUGGAACAAGAAUUUUCCUCAAAAUAAAAUAUUUAAAAAUACAUUUGCCUAUAAAAUGGCUUUUAGGGCCCCUAGGCUAUCAAAAUAAAUUAUUUUUCAAAAUAAUUUCAAAAGCGAACUUAUGGGAUAACUUUAUAUAAGCAUUAAAUCCCUUUUUAUACCAACACCCUCAUGGGUUGAAAUGCAAACACUCAAAAGUAAGAUCAAAGCCAAAUUCAAAUAAAAGCAUUUUUGAAAAGGGGUUUUCUAGGUCAAUUUUAGGGUUUUCAAAGUGAUUAAAUGCAAGAGUGACAUGAUGCUUAUGAUAUGCAAUGCAUAUGAAGGGUUUUGAAAAUUGGGAUGUUACAGAGAGUGGGGGUGCUAGGCUGGGCCUGAAUGGAUGGGUUAUGCCUAUAUCCUGUAUCAACUAGCUGGGCUGGACCCGUGCUACGGCUCGGUAGCAUGGGCCGUAGGCCCGCCCCAUUGUAGCUUUUAGGGAUUGAGAACCAUUUUAACAAACCAGCCUUUGAUAUGUGGUGUGGUGAACUCAACUUUAUGUCCAAUCAGGGGCGGAGCCGGCAUGUACUCAUUGGUGUCAAAUGACAGCAAUGGUAUUUUGCUAAUCUCCUUUGAAAAAAAAAUACCCUUAAAAUAUGUAAUGACACCUAUAAAUUUUGAAGAGUGACAUCAACCAUAUAUUUUUACAAUUCUAUUCUUCCGC